rnacentral:lncRNA from 1 species
GGCCGCCGAGUGGGUUGAGCUUUACAGUGGUGGCGGGCAGCCUGCGGUGCGCACGGCCACAGGGUGUGUGAGAGGAUGCGAGGUUGGCGGAGAAGGAAGAGUUGUGUGUCUGAGGAUCGUGUGGAGUUGCGAGUUGGUGAACCUAUUUCUCCAAAGAGAUAGCCUCGCCUUUGAGAGUGGGAGGAUAAAAUGGAAAGGUGUUAAGAAUGGCGAUGGCAAAUUAGGGAAGUGAGGAGCAAAGUAGAGAAGUACCAUUGCAGAAACUGGGAAAGCUAGGACCAGCAAACGCACAACAAAUGGCAAUUCCUGUUUACUGAGAACUCUGUUUUAAGACAUGUUCAGAAUCAUUUUCUUUAAUGAUUUUGUGCUCUUUUGAGAAAUUUGCUGCUAUUCAGUAAAUGAUCCUCAUGUGAUGGACGAGGAAACUGAGGACAAGAGAAGGUGACACUGAGGAAUUCCAUGUCCGAUCUCUUCCUGAAACCUGGAGCAGAUGGUACUAAGUCACUCCAUUGUUAAUAAUUUCUUUGAGAGGAGUCUCAUUUUUGGCAUCUGCAGCAUAAUAGCUUCUUCACGUAAUUAGUGGACCAAUAAGAGGCAAAAUGAUUAAAUGACAAAUUAACCAACUCCCAGCAAGACUCUGUUCUGUU